rnacentral:rRNA from 1 species
GACAGAGGGUGCAAGCGUUGUUCGGAAUUACUGGGCGUAAAGCGCGUGUAGGUGGCGAUGUAAGUCGGGUGUGAAAUCCCUCGGCUCAACCGAGGAAGUGCACUCGAUACUGUGUCGCUUGAGUGUUGGAGGGGAUGGCGGAAUUCCCGGUGUAGAGGUGAAAUUCGUAGAUAUCGGGAGGAACACCUGUGGCGAAGGCGGCCAUCUGGACAACUACUGACACUGAGACGCGAAAGCGUGGGUAGCAAACAGG